UCCCACUUCCCUGCCCUUUUCCCUGCGGGGGCGACAGGGGCGCCGCUUGCGAGGACAGGAGCAGGUUCCACCCCCGCGCCCUCGCCCCUGCUGCCCAGGACGGUGCUGGCUCGCGUGGGCCACACCUGGGCCGCCCUUUACCGGUCCGCCGCCUCUCUCGGCCCGGCUGCAGGGCCUCCCCCGGUGGGGUGUGCCUUCUGUCCCCCGUCCGCUGGCGCGGGCAGGGCCUUGGUCCCGCCGACGGGCCUGAUAACGGGGUCUCGGCCCCCCGCCCACAGCCGCGCACCCCCAUCGCCUCCGCCGGAACAAACCCAGCUGAUCCCCCCCAGUCCCCCCCUUGACAGUUCCGUGACGCAGCCGGUUUUCUUUCUGUUUGGGGACUGACAGCUAAAGCUCCCGUUGGGUCGCCUUUCUGGGACUAGAAUUGGCCUCUGAUCGCCGGGAGGUAGAUAGAGCAGGGGGUCUGGUCCUUGGCAGCGGCCACCUCCCGAGCCAGCCGAGCCUCCGUUUGCUUUCGCAGGACCCCCGUGUUGUCUCUCGCGGCUUCUCGUCUUCCCACUUUGGUUUGGCUUGGGAACCUGGGGCCCUGGUAAAACCAGACACCGAAUUGCUCUUACACAGCCAGGGUUACUGUCGGUGGCUCCCUGUCUCUACCCAGGGGAAGGUGGGCAGCACCAGCCUCUCAGCAGCUGGGAGUCAGAGAGAAUGCCCUGCGACAUGGCCCCAUCAGCCAUCGUGCUCCUCUGAGAGGCUGUCAGUGCUGAGUCACCCUAUCUGUCCACCUCGUUUGGGUGGGCAGACCUGUGUGCCAUGCCAGGGGCUCCUGACUGUUCCCACCCCGGGGGGAGGGGUAACUCUAGCAGUGUGUUUCCUUAGCACUCAGGAGUAGAGUAGAAAGAGGCCCUUAACCCCUCCCUUGUGCUCGCCUUCAGGAGCUAGGCAGCAGCCCCUUCGGUGACUUGAGUGAGCCACUGGGCCCCAGGCAGGUGCUCUUGGACAAAGGCUACUGCUAGUGUGGUCUCUUGGAGUUGAGGCUGUUACUUUGAUGGACGUGCACUUUGCCCCAACCCCUUCUUUGUUAGCCUCCACUGUCUCCACUUAGAUCCCGUCUGCAGAUGCGUGUAGUCCUUUCUGGGUUCGAUUUGGCAGGAUUGAGUUGUGUUCCCUCCUCCUUCUGGAAGAAAGACCAUAAUCACGUUAGUGGGUGAAAUUGACUCUAAUAGUUACUGCCAUUUAGACUCAGGGCUAAAUCUGGCACCUUGAGGACCCAAGCCCGGGCAUAGGCUUCCUGGGGAUGCCGGGUCUGGCAGUGGCUCCACCUUGCUGUGCUGUUGACCUCACUGCCGCAGGCUUCCUGGUUAAAGCCACAGGCCUGCCGCUGGCCCACUGCCCAUCAACCUACUGAUUGACCCUUGAGGUGGUCCCCUCUGGGGCAUGCCCAUGGCAGGGCCUGCCAUCAUGCGCCUGAGCUCCCUGUUGGCUCUGCUGCGGCCAGCGCUGCCCCUCAUCCUCGGGCUGUCUCUGGGGUGCAGCCUGAGCCUCCUGCGGGUCUCCUGGAUCCAGGGUGAGGGAGAAGACCCCUGUGUAGAGGCCGUGGCGGGGCCAGGAGGGCCACAUAAUCAUGACUCAAGAACUGGACUCGACCAAAGUGAUGAAGACUUCAAGCCCCGGAUUGUCCCUUACUACAGGGAUCCCAACAAGCCCUACAAGAAGGUGCUCAGGACUCGGUACAUCCAGACAGAGCUGGGCUCUCGGGAGCGGUUGCUGGUGGCCGUCCUGACUUCCCGGGCCACGCUGUCCACCCUGGCCGUGGCUGUCAACCGCACGGUGGCCCACCACUUCCCUCGAUUACUGUACUUCACGGGGCAGCGCGGGGCCCGGACUCCUGCGGGGAUGCAGGUGGUGUCUCACGGGGACGAACGGCCAGCCUGGCUCAUGUCGGAGACGCUGCGCCACCUUCACACGCACUUUGGGGCCGACUACGACUGGUUCUUCAUCAUGCAGGACGACACGUACGUCCAGGCCCCCCGCCUGGCGGCGCUUGCCGGCCACCUCAGCAUCAACCAAGACCUGUACCUGGGCCGAGCCGAGGAGUUCAUCGGCGCCAGCGAGCAGGCGCGGUACUGCCACGGGGGCUUUGGCUACCUGCUCUCACGGAGCCUCCUGCUUCGGCUGCGGCCACACCUGGACGGCUGCCGUGGGGACAUUCUGAGCGCCCGUCCUGAUGAGUGGCUCGGCCGCUGCCUCAUCGACUCUCUGGGCAUCGGCUGUGUCUCGCAGCACCAGGGGCAGCAGUAUCGUUCAUUUGAACUGGCCAAAAAUAGGGACCCCGAGAAGGAGGGGAGCUCGGCUUUCCUGAGUGCCUUCACCGUGCACCCCGUCUCCGAGGGCACCCUCAUGUACAGGCUCCACAAACGCUUCAGCGCCCUGGAGCUGGAGCGGGCGUACAGCGAGAUAGAGGAGCUGCAGGCUCAGAUCCAGAACCUGACCGUGCUGACCCCCGAGGGCGAGGCAGGGCUGAGCUGGCCCAUUGGGCUUCCGGCCCCUUUCACGCCACACUCCCGAUUUGAGGUGCUGGGCUGGGACUACUUCACAGAGCAGCACACCUUCUCCUGCGCGGAUGGGGCCCCCAAGUGCCCCCUGCAGGGGGCCAGCAGGGCGGAUGUGGGCGACGCCGUGGAGACGGCCCUGGAGCAGCUGAACCGGCGCUACCAGCCCCGCCUGCGCUUUCAGAAGCAGCGACUGCUCAAUGGCUACCGACGCUUCGACCCCGCGAGGGGCAUGGAGUACACCCUGGACCUGCUGCUGGAGGCCGUGACGCAGCGCGGCCACAGGCGGGCCCUGGCCCGCAGGGUCAGCCUGCUGCGGCCCCUGAGCCGUGUGGAGAUCCUGCCCAUGCCCUAUGUCACCGAGGCCACCCGCGUGCAGCUGGUGCUGCCGCUCCUGGUGGCCGAGGCCGCCGCCGCCCUCGCCUUCCUCGAGGCCUUCGCGGCCAGCGUCCUGGAGCCGCGAGAGCACGCGCUGCUCACCCUGCUGCUGGUCUACGGCCCCCGGGAAGGCGGCCGCGGGGCCCCGGACCCGUUCCUUGGGGUGAAGGCCGCGGCGGCCGAGCUAGAGCGACGGUACCCCGGGACGCGGCUGGCCUGGCUGGCCGUGCGCGCCGAGGCCCCUUCCCAGGUGCGGCUCAUGGACGUGGUCUCCAAGAAGCACCCCGUGGACACGCUCUUCUUCCUCGCCACCGUGUGGACCCGGCCCGGGCCCGAGGUCCUCAACCGCUGCCGCAUGAACGCCAUCUCCGGCUGGCAGGCCUUCUUCCCGGGCUCCACCUCUUCCGGGCCGUGGAGCCAGGGCUGGUGCAGAAGUUCUCCCUGCGGGACUGCAGCCCCCGGCUCAGCGAGGAGCUCUACCACCGCUGCCGCCUCAGCAACCUGCAGGGGCUGGGGGGCCGCGCGCAGCUUGCCAUGGCCCUGUUCGAGCAGGAGCAGGCCAACAGCACCUAGCGUGGCCCGUGCAGGGCGAGGCAAGACGGACGGACAGAUGGAGAGCUUGUUGCUGUAAUUUUUUUUUAAUAAGAAAACGUUAUUAAAAGUGUCUUCUGCCAAACUGUUUUUAGGUCUAGGGGAACUGGAGGAAGGAGGAGGCUGUGAGGGAGGGAGUGGGGUUUUUCCCAGGGGGACCCCUGCUGCCUUUCCCCUUGUCCUUCCUCCCCCGUUGGUUGCCAAUGACACACGAGGCUGCUCUCAGAUGCAUGAGCUUUAAUCAUUCCCCUGCCUCACCCGGAAGGCGUCAGAGGCGCACCGGCAGAGCCCGGGGUGGGGGGGCAGGCCCAGCCCCGGGGUGGGGGGCCCUCCACGGUGCUCCUCGCUGCAGGGGCUCCUAGGUGGUACGCACGACCAGCGACUGCUCCAGCUCCUGCCUGCGCUGCUGGAUCUUUAGAGAAAUAAGAGCAGCGGCAGGGUUACGCUGUUGAUGGUGAGUGACGGGACCAUCCCGGCCACCCAGCCACCCUGGGAGAGCCAGUAGGAGCCUGGCGGGAGAGAGGCUCCCCUGUGGUGAGGGGAUUGGGAGAAGUGGCUGAGAGCAGAGGCUUCUCUUGGGGGGCUGGGGAGGUGGGGGGGAGACCUGAGGCACAUGGGCCCCUCCACACCUUGCAGUAGAAAUAGCGACUGACGGCUUCCUGGGACCAGGGCUGGUGGUAGAACUCAGCCCGGCGCUCCUCCUCAGGGUUGCCCGCCACAUCUGUCAUCACCUGGGAGGGAGCCAUGGGGUCAGCCCUGAGCCCGGGCCCCCUCCGGCCCUUGUGUGACAACGUGUCCUGUCUUCCCCAUAUGCUUGUCUUCCAUCCAGUGUUCCCUGAGGCCCCUUCACCUUGAGGUCCCGGCUCUGGGAGCGGAGCAGGUCUUGGAUGUAGCCUUUGGGGUCUCUGGAGAAGCUUAGCAUGAAGUCCCUCUGGAUCUUGAGCUGGUUUAUGGACUCGAUCGUCUCAUGGAUCUGCAGCUCUGGGCUCUGGCCCCACCUUACUGUCCAGAGCGCUGAUCUCCUGCUGGUUGGCGGUGGACAGCAGGAAGCUGCUCAUCUGUCCCUUCAGGGGCUCCUCCACCUCCACGUCAAUGUCAUAGCACGCUGUCUUCUUCUGGUCCGACGGGUCCACGCUGCCAGGGAAGUCCAGUCCUUGGUGUCCCUGCUGCUCCCACAGAGGCCAGGGACCCGAGGGGACACCGGGGUGGGGGGGGGGUGGGGAGAGGGGUGCAGGACAGCAGGGACCCCCUGGGCUGGGGAGCAAGCUGGAGCCUCACCUGAUGACGUGGUUGAUGACAAUUGGGUCAGGGGGCAACAGCAGAGCUGUGAGGCGCUGGGGAAUCUCUGAAAACUUCAGCCGGGGGCAAUCAAAAAUCUGAAGUAGGCGGGGAGAGAGAGAGAGGGAGAGGGAGAGGGAGAGAGAGAGAGACCACGCUCAUCUGCUUGGAAACGGCAGAACUACAGUCCUAGAUCUUCCAUCCUGGGAAGGCAACACCAAGAGCAAGUCUCACUCUUCGGGGCUCCUGGGGCCGCGCCGAGCGUGUCUGUGCGUGGUGGCGUGCCCACGCGGGGGCAGGUGGGGGCGGGGCGGUGGUUGAAAGCAUGGGCCCUGGGUCGGCGGCCGUGGCGCCAAUCCUGCCUCUUCCCGUCAACAGUGCAAUUGAGCCCAUCCCCUAAGUUUUGAGGCCUCGGUGUCUUCAUCUGCAGAGUGGGUACGGUCACCAUACCUGUCUCCUGGGGCGGUAGCGAGGACGGAACGGAUCGGUGCACGUUAAGUGCCCACAAGCAUGCCUGACACGUGGCGUGGGCUCAAUAAACAUCGACUGUUAUUUUACUCCUCAA